GCCCGUAUAGCUCAGUUGGUAGAGCACUUCCCCGGUAAGGAAGAGGUCGCCGGUUCAAAUCCGGCUGCGGGCUCCA
rnacentral:tRNA from 1 species